CCACCAGUGACUGAUCACAGACCAGCACCAUGGAGCUGGGGCUGCGCUGGGUUCUCCUUGUUGCUCUGUUGAAAGGGGUGCAGUGUGAGGUGCAGCUGGUGGAGUCUGGGGCAGGCUUGGUGCAGCCUGGGGGCUCUGUGAGCUGAUUCCACCAGUGACUGAGCACAGACCAGCACCAUGGAGCUGGGGCUGCGCUGGGUUCUCCUUGUUGCUCUGUUGAAAGGUGUGCAGUGUGAAGUGCAGCUGGUGGAGUCUGAGGGAGGCUUGGUGCAGCCUGGGGGGUCCCUGAGACUCUCCUGUGCAGCCUCCGGAUUCACCUUCAGUAGUUACUACAUGGCCUGGGUCCGCCAGGCUCCAGGGAAAGGGCUGGAGUGGGUUGCACGAAUUAAUCCAGAUGGUGGUAGCACAUGGUACCCAGACUCCAUGAAGGGCCGGUUCACCAUCUCCAGAGACAACAGCAAGAACACACUUCACCUGCAGAUGAACAGCCUGAGAGUGGAGGACACGGCCAUCUAUUACUGUACUAGAGACACAGUGCAGGAAAUCCAGUGUGGGCCAGACACAAACCUCCCUGCAGGGCGCUCAGCACCAGCAGGGGGCGCUGGGCACAGCUUGGAGCCGGGUCAGCUCAGGAGCAGCUGCACACAGAGCCCAGGGCUGCUCUCCUGCUGUCUGCCCUGCCUCUGUGCCCACAGUGUGACAGCAUCUCUCCUGAGUUCAUGACCCGCACUCCUCUGUGAUGUCUCUAGUCCUUUGCUGGGACUUUAAGAAUGAACAGAGUAUCAUGCUGGAAGCAAAAAUGGCUCUGCAGUGGUGACCAGUAUUUGAUCCUGAAGAAACUCAGGGACCCUGGUGACCCCAUGAGACUCAGGACAAAGAUCCCAGGAUUCACAGAGUCAGAAUUUGUCCUGUGAACAAGAGGGAAAACGCCUGGCAUGGUGACUGGUGUCUGUAAUCCUAGAGACUUGGGAGGAGGAGA